ensembl:scaRNA
CUGCCUGACCUGUACCAUUUCUGCUCCCCGUGCUCAGUCCUAACAGGGUAGUCUGGCAGGACACACAGCGAUCUCCCUCUCAGUUUAGGAAGGCUGGCAAGAGAGGAUAAU